CCAUUCCCUACAUGAAGUCACACUAACACACUCAGCCAUAACAAGCAAGAAAAAGUAAGAACUCUCACACACACUCAGCCAUCCAUGCAAUGUAAGAAGUCUCUAACGCUCAGCCAUCCCCAGUAGGUAGUCCCUCACUCUCAGCCAUCCCCAGUAGGUAGUCUCUCACUCUCAGCCAUCCCCAGUAGGUAGUCUCUCACUCUCAGCCAUCCCCAGUAGGUAGUCUCUCACUCUCAGCCAUCCUCAGUAGGUAGUCUCUCACUCUCAGCCAUCCCCAGUAGGUAGUCUCUCACUCUCAGCCAUCCUCAGUAGGUAGUCUCUCACUCCCAGCUAUCCUCAGUAGGUAGUCCCUCACUCUCAGCCAUCCCCUGUAGAUAGUCUCUCACUCUCAGCCAUCCCCAGUAGGUAGUCCCUCACUCUCAGCCAUCCCCUGUAGAUAGUCUCACUCUCAGCCAUCCCCAGUAGGUAGUCCCUCACUCUCAGCCAUCCCCAGUAGAUAGUCUCUCACUCUCAGCCAUCCCCAGUAGGUAGUCCCUCACUCUCAGCCAUCCCCAGUAGUCC